UACGAAGGGGGCGAGCGUUGUUCGGAAUUACUGGGCGUAAAGGGCGCGUAGGCGUCCGAUCAAGUCAGAUGUGAAAGUCCUGGGCUUAACCUGGGGACUGCAUUUGAUACUGAUUGGCUUGAAUGCAGGAGAGGAUAGCGGAAUUCCCAGUGUAGAGGUGAAAUUCGUAGAUAUUGGGAAGAACACCGGUGGCGAAGGCGGCUAUCUGGACUGUGAUUGACGCUGAGGCGCGAAAGCGUAGGGAGCAAACGGG
rnacentral:rRNA from 1 species